rnacentral:lncRNA from 10 species
AGAAAACGGCUGUCUAUCAACCAGGAAGAGGCCCUCACCAGAAUCCGCCACACUGACACCCUGAUCUCAGGAUUCCAGCCUCCAGAACUGCGAGAAAUAAAUUUCUGUUGUUAAUAAGCCACCUAGUCUAUGACAUUCCAUUAUAGCCUCCCUGGCAGAUGAAGACGCUCAGUCUCCCAGUUUGUCAAACAAGGGGUGAUUGACACCGUAUCACAUUUCCCCUGCAGCCAGAGCGCGCGUUCUAUUAUAUCAUCAAUUACAUACGGACACACAUCUGGGUUCUUGGGUUCUUGCAGCUGAGCGCUCAGCUAUCUGGGAGAAGAGGCCCCGUCCCGUCUCGGCUGCAGCAGAUGAAGACUGGACCAUAUGCCGAUCGCUUGGCUGGACCCGUGAAUCUGAGAGACUUCCCAUUCCAUUUUCAAAACUUCCAGCAAAGCCAGAUGUAUGAGAAAAAAGACAUCCGGCCUCUGUAAGUUUUGACACAGUAGGAAACAGACUGAUCCCUGGAAGAUCAAUACAAAAGGCAACGCGGCAGUUCGACAGCUGAAAAUACAGGCGGCGGCAGCCAGCCACGCCUGUGGGCAGGGGAGAGGGAGUAGAAUGUACUUACGGACCCAGUAAUACUGACCAUAUUGAAGGGUAAGUGGCAUCCAAAGCGAGGCUGGCACUUGCUAAAGUGGUAGUAAACCAGAGCACACCUUCAGUGCCGGAGAAGAACGUUUCUGUCGCUCCCUGGAACUGCUCCUGGAAAUGCCAUGGCUCAGAUGAAGCCCACACAUGCCCAUACCCACAGCUUCAGUUUUUUA